AAAUAAAUAAUAAGUAAAUAAUGUAAAUAUAUAAUAUAUGAAUUAUAUUUAUAAUAAUAAGUAAAUACACAAUAUUUUAAGAAAAUGGAAAAAGUUCAUUAAACAUUAAACAUCUAUCUUAAAAUGUAAAAUAUAUAAUAUAAGUAAAUACACAAUUAAAAAAAAAUGGAAAAAGUACAUUAAGAUUUAAAUAUCUAUUUUAAAAUAUAAAAUAUAGAUAUUACGUAAGUAAAAAUAUAAGAAAUGGAGAUAAACAUUUAAAAAUGAAAAAAGUACAUUAAGAUUUAAACAUCUAUCUUAAAAUGGUAGUAUAUUAUAUAAAAAUGGAAAUACCACAUUAAACAAAAAAAAUAUAUAGUUUUACAUCAAGAAAGUUCCUAUAAAAC
rnacentral:lncRNA from 1 species